rnacentral:rRNA from 1 species
CUUUACUAUAGCUUGGAAUUGUGUUCGGGCUUUGAGUGCGCAGGAUAGGUGGAGGCGUAGAAGUAAUCCUUGUGGGGAUUAUAGAGCCAACGGUGAGAUACCACUCUCUCAAAGCUAGAAUUCUAACGGGAAACCGGAAAGUUUCAGGUGGGUAGUUUGACUGGGGCGGUCGCCUCCAAAAAGGUAACGGAGGCGUACAAAGGUUACCUCAGACUGGUUGGAAAUCAGUCGAAGAGUGCAAAGGCAGAAGGUAGCUUGACUGUGAGACGAACAGGUCGAACAGGGUGGAAACACGGGCUUAGUGAUCCGACGGUGCUGCGUGGAAGGGCCGUCGCUCAACGGAUAAAAGUUA